UACGGGGGGGCAAGCGUUGUUCGGAAUUAUUGGGCGUAAAGAGCUCGUAGGCGGCUUGUUGCGUCGACUUGUGGAAAACCCGUGGCUACAACCAUGUGGUCUGCAGUCGAUACGGGCAGGCUAGAAUUCGGGUAGGGGAGACUGGAAUUCCUGGUGUAGCGGUGAAAUGCGCAGAUAUCAGGAGGAACACCGGUGGCGAAGGCGGCAUCCUGGACCGACAUUGACGCUGAACGGCGAAAGCUAGGGGAGCAAAGCGGG
rnacentral:rRNA from 1 species